ACAAAACUAAUAAAAGCCCGAACCCAAACCCUGCCACCAUCAUAGUUUCUGAAUGACUUCCUGAACUUGGUCCUCCAGCACUUCUGGUCUGUAAUUACUC